rnacentral:rRNA from 1 species
ACAUGCAAGUCUAACGAUGAAGCCCAGCUUGCUGGGUGGAUUACUGACUAACGGGUGAGUAACACGUGAGUAACCUGCCCUGGACUCUGGGAUAACCCCUAGAAAUCGGAGCUAAUACCGGAUACGACCUCAUAAUCGCAUGGUUUGGGGUGGAAAGUUUUUCGGUCUGGGAUGGACUCACGGCAUAUCAGCUUGUUGGUGAGGUAAUGGCUCAACACGGCGUAGAUGGGUAGCCGUCCUGAGAGGGUGACUGGCCACUCAGCGACUGAGACACGGCCCAGACUCCUACUGGAGGCAGCAGUGGGGAAUAUUGCACAAUGGGCGCACGCCUGAUGCAGCAACGCUGCGAUAGGGAGGACGGCCUUCGGGUUGUAAACCUAUUUUAGUAGGCAAGAAGGGUUUGGGCUCGACGGUACGGGCAGAAAAAGGACUGGGUAACUACGUACCAGCAGCCGCGGUAAUAAGUAGGGUCCUAGCGUUGUCGGGAAUUAUUGGGCGUAAAGAGCUCCUAGGAGCUAUGUUGCGUAUGGUGUGAAAUCCCGAGGGUCAACCUCGGGCCUCCAUUGGGUACGGGCAGAUUAUAGUGUGGUAGGGGAGAAUGGAAUUCCUGGUGUAGCGGUGGAAUGCGCAGAUAUCAGGAGUAACACCGAUGGCUGAAGGUAGUUAUAUGGGCAGUAACUGACGAUGAGGAGCGAAAGCGUGGGGAGAGAACAGGAUUUGAUUCCCUGGUAGUUCAUGCCCUAAACGUUGGGCGCCAGAUGUGGUGAC